AGGAGAGAAUGUCAGAGAAGCGUUCACUGGAAUGUACGUCAGAAACGUUUAUAGCUAAAAGUUAGUUCAUGAACACACAAAGAGAGAAUGGGAAGAGUUUACACCCAUUUCUCUCCGUUAAGGCGAAAUAGAUGCAUUUUUCAUCUUUAAAUCACAGUGAAGGGCUUUGAGACGUCCUCCUGACAUGAAAAGGGGCUUCAUCAAAUGGCCGGGUCAAGAUUAUUAUUCUUAUUAUGAAUCAAUACAAGAGAAAUUGAUGAACGACAAGAACAAUUGCCUUUACGCCAGGGACUUUCACGCCAGAAGGACAUCCCAAGGCUCUGGACAGUUAAGCAAUGAAGUGACUAGUGUUGACACGAUGUCUCCCAUUGACGUCCAUUUCAAUCGCAUCUGCACAAGUUCCUUCCUCACCCGGUGGCUGUGAAUCACAUCCUCUCACAGACAGCUGGAGCUCCUCCACGUACAGCACCAUCCCCUCUCACAACACAAAGUCCUCUCCAGCAGCCUGCGGUGACCGGCACUCUCUGCUCUCCCACAAGAACCUGCUAGGGCAGAAGGAAGACCAAGGUUCAUCCAGUUCACCUUCCACCAUCCUUGGCAGUCGCAUGAUGUGUCGUGUCCCAGACUAUGCAUUGUUUCCCCAGAUAUUAUUCUACUCCAAUGUAUAAGUGUAAUAAAUUGCAUUUCCUAUAUGAAA